rnacentral:misc_RNA from 1 species
CUCUGUUUUCUGCCAAAUUUUUCUCAUCUAAAUCUUUAGGAAAUGAAAAGCUUGGACAAUCUUUUGACUGCCAAAUUUUCUGUGUCAUUAAGCAAGUUCUUUGUACAUAUUGUCAUCAAGCAAGCAACAUAUUUUAAAAUCUAACUGUAGAACUUCACAGGGCUGAUCCAUUUGUUCUUUCUCUGUUUUCCCGGUGAAUGCUUACCUUCAGUUUUCAUGCCUUUUGGUGGUUGACUGAUCCCUGGUCUUGUUAUUUGUAUAUUUCUCAGGUUGG